UGGGCUGGGGCUCAGUGGCAGAGUGCUCACCUAGCAUGCGUGAGGCCCUGGGUUCAAUCCUCAGCACCACAU
rnacentral:tRNA from 1 species